rnacentral:rRNA from 1 species
UAGGGAAUCUUCCGCAAUGGACGCAAGUCUGACGGAGCAACGCCGCGUGAGUGAAGAAGGAUUUCGGUUCGUAAAACUCUGUUGUUAGAGAAGAACAGCGCAUAGAGUAACUGUUAUGCGUGUGACGGUAUCUAACCAGAAAGCCACGGCUAACUACGUGCCAGCAGCCGCGGUAAUACGUAGGUGGCAAGCGUUGUCCGGAUUUAUUGGGCGUAAAGCGAGCGCAGGCGGUUAGAUAAGUCUGAAGUUAAAGGCAGUGGCUCAACCAUUGUAGGCUUUGGAAACUAUUUAACUUGAGUGCAGAAGGGGAGAGUGGAAUUCCAUGUGUAGCGGUGAAAUGCGUAGAUAUAUGGAGGAACACCGGUGGCGAAAGCGGCUCUCUGGUCUGUAACUGACGCUGAGGCUCGAAAGCGUGGGGAGCGAACAGG